rnacentral:lncRNA from 1 species
GGACGGGCUGCACAUAGAUAGUUUGUGGAAGGAGAGUAGAGUCCAUUCGGUGGAAGGAAGGACGGAUCCACAGAUGAUGUAUCUAGAACCUGAGUUCAUCAAAUGUCCUUUGACUCCACUCACACUGACGGAGCUGAAAGACCUCCGGAGAGGACCUUUCCCUCAGGAGGAAUCCCAAGCGCCCAAUGACCGAGCCGAGUCUACUCGGAUGCAAUCAGCAAGAGGGUUUAUUGGAAAACACAGGUCAGCAUUACACUGAUGCCUUUGCCCAGGUGAACCCUUUGAGGAAGGUGCCGGCUUUGAAGGAUGGGGACUUCGUCUUGGCAGAGAGUGUGGCCAUCUUGCUGUAUUUGAGUAGAAAGUACAAGGCACCUGACCACUGGUACCCUCAGGACCUACAGACCCGAGCUCGUGUGGAUGAGUACCUGGCUUGGCAGCACACAGCCCUGCGGAGCUGUUGCAGCAGGGCCAUGUGGCAGAAGGUGAGCUGCCCCACAGCCUGUCAGUGCUGGCUGCAAAAUCUUCGAGAGCCGACCCAAACUGGCUGCGUGGCGUCAGCGGGUGGAAGCCGCAGUGGGGGAGAGCCUCUUCCAGGAGGCCCAUGAAGUCGUCCUGAAGGCCAAAGAUAUGCCUCCCUUGAUGGACCCGACCUUGAAGGAGAAACUGAAGCUCUCUGUUCAAUGCCUGCUGCACUGAGGGAACAGCCUGAAGUCAAGGGAAACUUGGUGUGUGCGUGUGUGUGUGUGUGUACACGCAAGUGAAGAGGUGAGGCUGUGUCUUUGGCAGUCACUAGGACACAGAGUCUCUGGUCCAGUUUCCUCUCGGCAUCCCCGGUGCUUCCUCUGUGUCCCCACUCGGUUUGUGCUGUGACGUCAGCUCUUAUCUGACUUCUGGAGAGAGCUGCAGGAAAAUACUUGGGAGAA